CAGUCGCCGCGGGAAUACGUAGGUGGCAAGCGUUGUCCGGAAUUAUUGGGCGUAAAGGGCGCGUAGGCGGAUGGCACAGUCAGAUGUGAAAUUCCCGGGCUUAACCUGGGGGCUGCAUUUGAUACGUGUUGUCUAGAGUGAGGAAGAGGGUUGUGGAAUUCCCAGUGUAGAGGUGAAAUUCGUAGAUAUUGGGAAGAACACCGGUGGCGAAGGCGGCAACCUGGUCCUUAACUGACGCUGAGGCGCGAAAGCGUGGGGAGCAAACAGGAUUAGAUACCCCCGUAGUCCCUGUCUCUUAUAC
rnacentral:rRNA from 1 species